GGGAAGAGGCUGAGAACACUGAGAGAACAGGUGUGGAAGAUCAGGGAUGAAGAACGGACUGGGAACAGAAGGAUACCUGGUCUGGAUGUCCACUUAUCUCAAGGGACAGGGCCAACCUGCAAUGCCCCUCACCUCUCACUGGUGGGGUCCGAGCAGUUCAGUGGGUACUUAAGGUGGAUGAUGGUGCCAUCUCGGUCCUGCAGGAUGCCCUGCUGCUGCGUGUAAUACUCGACCAGCUCUGUCAGCGUCGCAAACUUCUCCCCUCCGUACAGGUCAUAGAAGUCCCCUGAGUUCUGGAUCCGAAUAUGAGUCACCUGAUCAUCCACCCUGCAAGGCACCACCAGACGACAUCUUGCUGUAUGUGGCCAGGCUAGCCUCAAACUCAAGAUCCUCCUACCUCGGCCUCUCCUGUCAUCCUACACCACUCUUCCCAGCUGAGACAACUGUAUCGCUGUUAUUGUAGCAUGACAAUCCUGUUUACUUGUGAUGUGACUAUCCCAAGUUUAGAAACAAAAGUGAAAACUGAAGGCUCAUUCGGUAACUUGCCCACAGUCACGAGGUUCCAGUGAGUGGGAAGGUGAAAAAAACCCAAAGCUGUCUGAGGCCAGAGAUCUGUUUGCCACAGCCAACUGCACCAUCAGGCUUUAAGGAGCUGCCGGGUACCGAAAAGCCUGGAGAUGGAGAUGGAGGAUACAGGUCACCCCCACGGGCAGAUGGACCAAGACACAGAGGUGUCAUGGAAACCGUGCACUUGGGUUGUUCGGUGUAAGCAGAGCAAAGCAGCUGAACCAAAGCAUGCAGGGGCUGGACCCCCGAAGCAGAGGUCUUCCAAGUCCAGGUUAAAGAACCAAGAAAGAUUCUAUAAUGGGAGAUUCCUUGUCAAGGCAGAUGGGAAGUCUCAGCACCACCCCCGGGCCGGCAGGGACAAGAUACACACUGGAGGAAGAGUGUACACAGAAAGAAUUGAAUGAGUAUGAAAAGCCAAACUCAGCAGGACCCCUGUACAGACCACCCACAAAGUCACCAGAACUCUCUGAGUGGGCCUUCACUACCCAAACCCCACCGGAAGUCUAAGGUGCCCAUGGCUUUCUUCUUGGGUGAACACACUAUCCUUUGCCCAUUUGUCCCCAGAUAUCACUCGGCUCAGCUCAAACAUCACCUCAUCUGGAAGCCCGCCCUGUCAGCCAAUUAUGUCUCCAGAAUACAUCACUUGCUGCUUCUUUUCCUGCGUGUUAGUUAGUGCUUCGGCCAUCUGAAAUAAUCCUAGUUAUUGCCUGUGUAUUCACUCUGUCAUCUCUGGCUGGAAUGCCUGCUCUCUAAGCAGAGAUCAUGUCUGCCUCAUAUUACCAACAAACAUCGUCAUCAGUACCUGUC
rnacentral:lncRNA from 1 species